AGCAACGUUAUCCGGUAAAGUCAUCAGUAAAAGAGAAUGAAGAAUUAGAAUCUCAUGUUUUGUGCUAUUAUAUGAAUAUUUUGUUCUCUGAAUACUCCUUGAUUGUUAAUGUAGUUAUGAAAUACAAAAGUAAAAUACUUCAAUUUUUAAUGAACCAACCUCAAGAACCUAAGCAAGAGAUUGAAGCAGGUCCAGUGUUCUUCUGCAACCAAUGGACCACAAAACUACUAACACAGAGCUACACAACUGCAAUCCAUUGGAAAGUGAUUUCCCCCUUCAAGUCAAAGAACAGGAAUUCUGAAGAGACAACUGUCAGUUUGAAAUAGAGAGUGAAUAGUAGUUUAAAAAAAAAAAACAACAACAACAAAAGUACAUUAAAAAGCUUAUUCACAGAAUUUCUAAUGGCUGGAGGGGGGUUAUUAAUUAUUGGAAACACAACAUUGAAAAAUGUUUACUAUAAAUUUGUAAUGAUUUUUUAACUGAGCAAAUGGAGAAAAUUAGAAAGUUGGAAUGUGAGAAAUCAGUAAAGAGAAAUGAAUCAGUGAAAGAGGUAAAGCAGCUUUGUAAAGGUUGUUCUAAAUCUAAACCGAACUUAACCACUAAACUGUUUCAAUGCAUAACCGGGGGAUUUCUGUGAGGAAUCUUCCUGUUGGCUAUCAAGCUAUACUGUAGGAGCCCCUGGGUUUCUGAAUUGCAGAUCUGUCCCAAGUUUUCAUCUAUUCUGUGUUUGUAAUGAAUGGAAACAUUAUUACAUCUAAUACUCAUUCUGGAGUAGGUAUUUGAUUAUUUGAUUUUAAAUGAAUUCUUAUACUGCACUUGUCAUCUUACCUGAGGAUCUUGACUAAGAUCAAACACUUGACUAACAUCUAUCAGGUACUGAUUGUUCUUUCAUCUUCUCUCCUAUAUGAAUAGUAUGUGUCAUGAAGUAUCUUUUUGAAGUUAUUUGUUGCCUGCUUUGACUUUUUUCCUUAACAUUUAAAUACUGCUGUGUGUUAAUUGUUAAAGGUGGCAAGGUUAAAUAAAUGUGCCC
rnacentral:lncRNA from 1 species